GCCCGUCAAGCCAUGAAAGCCGGGGGCGCCUGAAGUCCGUGACCGCGAGGGUCGGCCUAGGGUGAAACCGGUGAUUGGGGCGUAAGUCGUAACAAGGUACC
rnacentral:rRNA from 1 species